rfam:Phenylobacterium zucineum HLK1 plasmid, complete sequence.
CCGGGCGCCGCCAUGGGCCCGGCAGACGGUCGCGGGGACCCUCCCCGCGGCCCUCUCGUCACCAUGUUGCUUUUCGGAGGAUAUGGUCAUGAGAA